GGAUUCCCCUAGGUAGCGGCGAGCGAAGCGGGAAGAGCUCAAAUUUGAAAGCUGGCGUCCUUCGGGCGUCCGCAUUGUAAUCUAUAGAGGUGU
rnacentral:rRNA from 1 species